UUGAAAGAGAUAGGAAAUAACGUAUAGAACAAGAAAGAAGAGAAUGGACAAAAAACCAACCACUUCCUUUCCUCAUUCGUGCGCUGUUACAAAAUUGAAGAUGAUUUUUCCUAUUCCUUCUUGAACAAUGACAAGAUCACAUCAAUAUAAAUUAUAGAGAAAAGAGGGAGAAGAACCAACAGUGGUUCAACAACUAAAAAAGAGAAACAAAUCUCCAAAGAAAAACACCCUCAAAUUUUAUCCCAAAAUAGCUAUAGUAUCUCUAUAUCCGUGUCUGUCCCUCAAACCAAAAAAACUAUCAUUAGGCCUUAAGGAUUUGUGCCUAACUGUAAUCCUAUUUUUGCAUACUAUCUUCAUAGUGCAACCACUCCUCAAUCCUCGGCAUUUUAUAAAGUGAUUCCAUGCGUCAUUCUCUAACCAAAUAUAUAUAUCUUAUCUGGUGCAGUAGAGUGGAAGGUUGAGCGCAUGAGGAACACCUUCAUUAACUUCUUCCAAGAUAGGGCUCACAAAUGUUGUUAAUAUAGUCUUAUUAUAUCUUAUAAUGAUCCAACCCUUCUUCAUGUUUGUCCGAGCUGUGAAUGCAAAACCGAAGCUGGAUGAGGGGAUAAAAAUCACAAGUAAUCAGAGAUUACAACACACAAAAAUCAGAGAUACAACACAGAGCAUACACUUAGAAUAUCAGGAUAACCAUACAAUCAGAAUAUAAAACAAGGCAUAACAAGAAGGACAAUCAGAGAUACCAAAAGUGACGAAUUUAGCCGAUAUAUAGAAAGUGCAGGGAGCAUCCAGAAACAGAAAAAUCAACCAAGUUGACAUUUAAGGGAUAAAAAGCAAAAGGUACAUCCUCAGGUAAGUUACUAUCCCAUUCAUUUGCAUAAUUGUAAGCAAUAUGGUUUACUUAUUUCAUAUCCCACAUAAUAAAAGAAUACACACCUCCGCAUUCCAUUAAGAACAUUUAUAUUGUGGUAAUCUUAAGUAUAAUGUGUUUAUGAAAUAUCAUCGUCAAAUAUUUUUUUAUAAGUGUAUUAAUAGUAUCCAGAAGCAAAUGAGUUCAUAAGAACUUAAGGAAACCGAGAAUCCAGAAGGAAAUGAGAUAUGAAAAGAGAGUGAGGAAAUGAGAUAUGAAAAGAGAGUGAGGAAAUGAGAUAUGAAAAGAGAGUGAGGAAAUGAGAUAUGAAAAGAGAGUGAGGAAAUGAGAUAUGAAAAGAGAGUGAGGAAAUUAGUUACCCUUUUUUAAGUCACCAUAAUAAUCUGUCUUCAACAUCGUGAUUUCAUCUUCGUCCACCGAACCACCACUCCAUGUCAUCUCCAUUCUCCCUUAAUUCGCCUAUUCAAUAAAUCCAAACAGCAACCAAAAAUCAAUCAAAUAUGAACAUAACAUGAGAAUAGACUCAAUGAGACUAAUAACAUGAGAAUAACAUGGUCUUCCAACCGAAAAUCGGGUCGCGACACUCUUCCUCUUCCUUUUCCCUUGCUUCCUCCUUAGUCAUCUAAAGAACCUUAUUCAAAUUCAGACUCACUAUUUUCACUCACUAUUAUAAAAGCCAACUCAUACUAGCUAGUCCAAUCGGUUCAAUUAUAAACCAGAUAUCUCAUUAGUUCAAAUCUCUCAUUUAACUAAUUUUACAUUAGAAUGGAGAUGACUUAGUUUGACUCGGUCUUUGAG
rnacentral:lncRNA from 1 species